rnacentral:rRNA from 1 species
GACGAACGCUGGCGGCGUGCUUAACACAUGCAAGUCGAACGGAAAGGCCUGCUUUCCCUUGUGGAUUGCGGGUACUCGAGUGGCGAACGGGUGAGUAACACGUGAGUGAUCUGCCCCCAACUUGGGUAUAAGCCUGGGAAACUGGGUCUAAUUCCCGAUAGGACUGCAGGGUGGCGCCUGUGGUGGAAAACGAUUUUCUAGUGGUUGGGGAUGAGCUCGCGGCCUAUCAGCUUGUUGGUGGGGUAAUGGCCUACCAAGGCGGCGACGGGUAGCCGGCCUGAGAGGGUGGACGGCCACAUUGGGACUGAGAUACGGCCCAGACUCCUACGGGAGGCAGCAGUGGGGAAUAUUGCACAAUGGGCGGAAGCCUGAUGCAGCGACGCCGCGUGGGGGAUGACGGCCUUCGGGUUGUAAACUACUUUCGACCGAGAGGAAGCCACCUGGUUGGAAGGGUGGUGACGGUAGUGGUAGAAGAAGCACCGGCUAACUACGUG